rnacentral:misc_RNA from 1 species
GGGGAGAGGGGUGGAAUUGGCCAAGAGAAAAUAUUUUGUUGUUCAAAGGGAAAACUAAGCCAACACAGCCAUUUUCAAUUUUUGAGCACGAGUUCUUUUUAUUUCUAUGAAAAUAGCUCAUCACUCUUGUGUAAUACAAUUAAAUGCAAUUAUUAAUCUUUGCAUGUAGGUUUUUACUUUUGAUUAUGAUAUUAGUUGAAAUUACUA